GAUUAACGCUGGCGGCGUGCAUGAGACAUGCAAGUCGAACGGGCGACUCGGGCUUGCUCGAGUCGCUAGUGGCGGACGGCUGAGUAACGCGUAGGUGACUUGCCCUGAAGUGGGGAAUAACUGCCCGAAAGGGUGGCUAAUACCGCAUGUGGUGGUGCGUUCAUUCGCACCAGUAAAGCCGCAAGGCGCUUCAGGAGAGGCCUGCGUCCGAUUAGCUCGNGGUGGGGUAACGGCUCACCAAGGCGACGAUCGGUAGGUGGUCUGAGAGGACGAUCACCCAGACUGGGACUGAGACACGGCCCAGACUCCUACGGGAGGCAGCAGUCGGGAAUUUUGCGCAAUGGGCGAAAGCCUGGCGCAGCAACGCCGCGUGAGGGAUGAAGACCUGGUUGUAA
rnacentral:rRNA from 1 species